CCCAGUGAGAGAGUGAGUGCGUCGCUGAUUGCGAGCACGCAGCUUUUCUCCGCUCUCAGUCAGACAGAAGGAGAACAAACUGAGUCAAUCAGCUCCGUUUAUUUUCAGGACUCGGCGGUGACAGACACGAAGACAGGCAGCGCGCGUGCGCGCGCGCGACGGAGCUGCUCGAACAGCACAACUGGUGCCACAUGGAAAUAGUUAAGGGCACGAACGAGAUGGGGAAGGUGUUUAAAUUAGCACGAGAGAGAGAAGCAAAUGAGAUAACAUUCAGAAAGUGCUGGGAGAGAAGAACAUGAUCUCGUCCUUGAACUCCUUGCGCUCCUCCAGGGCGUCGUCGAUGCUGAGGAUGACGCUCUCGCUGGACUCGGGCCCGUACAGGAACUUGCAGGCGCAGCUCUUCUGCAUGACCUCCGCCCGCGAGAAGCCCGUGAGCUCGCAGAAGCCAUCGGAGCAGUAGACGAUGGGGAACCCCUUGGACACCUGAGCGUUGGCCAGGAUGAAGUUGCUGUCUGCGCGCGACGCGGGGAGAAAGGCCGUUUAGAAUAACUUCAACGAACUCAGGAAUGUCUUAUGCAGUUAAAAAAAUAAUGAGCUGUGAGUUCAGCCUAUUCCCAGCUCGUCUAAAGGAGAAGGAAACUCCAUGUUAAAGUUCCCCGAAGCCUGUUUAACAUAUCUUAAAGUGCGAAGACAGUGACACAAAGAAUAACAUUUAAUGUGUUUUCUAAUUCUAGUCAGGAAGUGAAGAUAGUAAAACUCCCCACAGACCACGCUGGCUUCUACUCUUCUUUAAUUUAUUCCUUCAAGUAUCCCUAUCAGGCCUGACACCAGCCUCCGGGCAGCAGCAGACCCACAACACUGCAAAUAUCAGGCAAAGCAAAGUAUAUAGUAAAUAUCAUUGAUUAACACUGGUAAUAGUCACAGUUACAAGGCUUUUACACUUGCCUUGAUGUCCUGAAUCCUACUUUAAAUAGUACAGCAGCACAAGCUGUGAGUGUAUAAUGUCCCAGCCUCUGUCUGGAGUUGUGUUUCUCUUACGGCCGCUUUAUUAGUUCUGCUUUGGUCUCCGCGCAUUUAGGAGAAUUAUGCUGCCCGUUGGCACCGGCGAUGCUGAUGAUCCAUAACGCGUACGCUCCCACCGCCAGCCUCAUUAGGUAGCGACGCAGAGACACGCGCUCGCUCUCAGCCAGCCGGCAUUAAAGGCACAUUUCACUUCACCAGGGCUUUUGGCUGCGAGACCACUCAGCUUCCACCACCCACUUUUCAAACGCCAGCACAUAGAAAUGGAAGCGGCUGGUCAAGGGGUCAGCGAGCGCUGAUGGGAUGCUCAGCUCAGGUGGAUGAAGGCCCAUGUGGGCUGUGAGGUGAACGUCAUUUACCUCAUAGAGGACUAAUUUACCGGGACCCUAAACAGCAAUAAAAUCCUACUCUCCAAUCACAUUGGAGAAGCUCACUUGAGAGUGAAGUGUGGUGAUAUUUUGGUAAAUGUGAGGAUGUUAGAGAAUAUCACUAUUAAUUAGCCUGUAGUUUAUAUGUGUAGUUCUUUGGCAGCUGCUUAUAUCUAAAUGUAUCCAUUAUAGCACACACACACACACACUGAGCUGUGCUGACAGACAGCUAAUGUUUACAGUGCAAUAGCCAUUAUCCAAGACAGCGGAGCAGUGAUUCUAUAAUGAGCUCGAACUAACAAUAAAAUGAGUAAGAAUUUCUCAAUUCACACAUUCAAUUCACAUUCGCUGUUACGUUAACGAAUGGCUCCCAGUUAAACAAAGCGUUUGUUUAAUCACAGAAAUUAAACGUCACCAACACACAGAAACACAAACCUCUGUAUAGGAGACGCCCUGCGAAGUGACUUGUUUCUAUUACGUUUCAUUACAAAAAUCAAUUUUCUGCAUCAAUAAUUCGUUUUCCCACCGACCCUGAUGUUUAAUUGUUUUAUGUUGCACGUCAGGCUUUGCUGGAGGAAACCACUUCUAGACCCGAACGGGGAAUAGCAGCGGAGGACAAAUCCCAUGUACGCGUCCCUCAAGAGGAACAACGUUCCCUUUUUCUAAUCCCAUUUGGAGAUCGGCGCUUGCUGGAAAUCACGACAGACAACACAUUGAACUUCAGCAUCUCUCUCAGAGCAAACCCUGGGAGCUUUUCCAGGACCGUUUAAAGCUGCAAAGGUCUUCGGUACGUAAUGAAUUAAAGAUGCACUGUAUUGUAAUGAAUGCUACUUUUUCGUUGCAGAAGGGAGGGAAUCUAUACUUCCUGAAAUAAACACUGCUUACAUGGAGGUUCACACAGCCUCAUUGAAUGAAUUU